UACGUAGGGUCCGAGCGUUGUCCGGAAUUAUUGGGCGUAAAGAGCUCGUAGGCGGUUUGUCGCGUCUGCUGUGAAAUCCCGAGGCUCAACCUCGGGCCUGCAGUGGGUACGGGCAGACUGGAGUGCGGUAGGGGAGAAUGGAAUUCCUGGUGUAGCGGUGAAAUGCGCAGAUAUCAGGAGGAACACCGAUGGCUAAGGCAGGUCUCUGGGCCAUAACUGACGCUGAGAAGCGAAAGCAUGGGGAGCGAACAGG
rnacentral:rRNA from 1 species